ACGGGUAUAAUUCAAUCUGGUCAGAAUACUCCGCUUACAUCGGAGAUGUUGAAGGUUCAAAUCCUUCUGCCCGUA
rnacentral:tRNA from 1 species